rnacentral:lncRNA from 1 species
AGGUAUGAAAUAAUUUCCUAUUGAAGUCAUCUUAACAUGGAACCAGAAUUAAAUCCUAACAACAAUCAUGUGAGCCUGGGGAGGAUCCUUCCCCACGUGAGCCUUCAGGGGAGACUUCAGCCUUGGCCAUCUUCUACAUCUAGAUUCCUGACCAAGAGAAGCUGUUUAGAAUAGUUCACCAGUGAAGUCAUCUCAACCAGCACAGGGCCUUGACUCCUAACAACAAUCACACGAACUUGGAAGAGGAGCCUUCCCCAACUGAACCUUCGCUUGAGACCUCGUCCUUGGCCAUCCUCUACAUCUGGAUUCAUGAUACAGAGAAACUUGAGUAAUGAUGACACUAGCAGUCCAGCCUGCAUGGAUGCUGACAUGGAUGCUGUCUCCCAUUCUUACCACUGGAUGGGAAGAAAUGCUAGAUGCAAUCCAGCCAGUCUGUACUCGACUGUCAGUUCCAUCUUCUCAACUCACAGUGUCUUCCAAAGUCCGUGCCACACCACAGCCUGGAACAUCUCCCAAGGUUUCAAAUAAUUCAUCAGUGAAUUCUUCUCAACCUGGUCAAUCAUGUGAACUUAGAAGAUGAUUCCUCCCCAGCUGAUCCUCAGGUGAGACAUCAGCCUUGGCCAUCAUCUACAUCUGGAUUCCUGACCCAGAGAAACUGGAACACUAAGACCCAUUCUUCUUCUCAAGUAUCCAAAAAUAAAGUUGAUCCAAGUAAGAAGUGGACAGCAUAAAAGAUUGUAUGGAAGCUAUAAUGCAUCUACAUCUGCAGUAACUAAUCAUAAAAUGAUUUGUAUGAUCAUUCUUCACAUGAUUAGAAUUACUAUGGGAAAGAAGAAAAAGAAAUGCCUCUCUGGAUGGUGACUAUAACCUAUAGCCUUGCCCAAUAUGACUCAGGAUUUGGUACUGGCUGUGCCUUUCAUGGGAUGCUUACUUAUCCUGGUCGAUGGCCUAAAGCCCAACCGUCCAGCUUAUAUCCAGGGAUAAACUCAGCCUGCGGGGCCUCAGGAAGAAGGUCGUAGCCAUUUCAUUGAGUCCAGGGCAGAAAAGUGGAAGAAAAAUGUGAAUGUGUUAAUUUGAGGACUUUAGCUCUGAGAGGUUUCAGGAUUCAGUCCAAAAUGCAGAAAACAAUAAAAAGCUCAAAAACAAUGGACAAGACUAGAAUCUAACAACAGGGUCUCAAGCCACCCAGGCUGGAGUGCAGUGGCACAAUUAUGGCUCACUGUAGCCUCACCUUCCUGGGAUCAAGCAAUCUUCUUUCUUCAGCCUCCAGAGGAGCUGGGACCACAGAUCCUUUGGCAUUUGAGAGUUGCUUUGUGUAUACGGUCCUUUAACGGAGCAAAUGGCCAGCCAGGAAACCAAAGUAUGGACAAGGGGAAAGAAGCGUCUGUGGAGGAAGUUUUACAAGCGCCCUCCUCAUCCAUUUGGGUGGUGUUGCCCAUAUGCUACAUGUCUGUGGACCACUAUGUGUGUUUAAAGCUUUUUAGUAAAACGUUACUAAAAACUAUGACUCACUGUGGUGAAAAAGGUGGCAAAACAGUGACAACACAACACGGAGAUGCAUUGACACCCUUCUUCAAUCCAGAGGAUGGGCCAUCAACUCACAAAAGUACAAGGCCUGGAACCAGCUGCAAAGUUCCUAUGGAUCACUUGGCCAGGUUAGAGUUCAGUGGUGUGAUCUUGGCUUACCUCAACC